UGGAGAACUCACCACUGUUUCCUGGACUCUUGAGCAUAUUGGUUCUGAGGAUGCUGCCCAAAAUGCUCUGAGGAGAAUCUUUUUAACAUGGACAAAUUCACCAGGUGCUCCUGAGCUUAUGCAAGCAGCAGUUUCUCAAAGUCCCAAUUCCUCUUCCACCAAUGGGAUUCUUGUUUCUACAAGGGCUGCAGAGUGGUUUCACCAAGGUAGUAUGGAGGAGGAUGACAAGCCAAGAUGAGUUUCAGUGGUGGAGAGCAUCCAAAGCUGAGCAAGAGGGCUAUUCAGCAACUGUCUUUGUGAGUACUGUGACCGGGAAUAAACCAAAACACCAGCAUGGAAUCAAAUAUCUCCAUGAUGUUGUUCAGUUCUGCCUUCUGGAAGGGUCACCAUGGAGCUCUGUGGGCUGAGUGAGGCCCUGGUGGGACAUGGGCUUGGAGGUACCCCCAGCUUGGCAAGGGCAGGGGUAUGAGAGCUGGAGAUCAGCCCUUCUAAAGCCCUGCUGGGACAGUGUUUGAUGGCCCUGGGGCUUGAGAUGGCACUGAGUGGAGGCCUAAGGAAGGAAACUGUUCUGCUAGUCCUCUCAGGGCACUGCUAGUUGUUAAUGCAUCAUAUAAGGACCAUGCUGGAAUACAUGCUCUCCACAUCAUCAGAUAUGGACAAAUACACUAGUGUUUACUCUUAUUUUAAGUGUAUUGGACCUCUUCUAGAUAAGAUCAAAUAUUUCUUUCCUGCCUUUACCUUUUAAAAGAAAUAUAUGCCCUUAAAAGAGUAUAGUCUGGAAUUCCUGAUAGUCUGGAUAUAUGUAUAGUCUGGAUACCCUGAUCCUCAGGGGAAUCUUUUACAACUUAGUUUCAUUUUGAGUAAUGCUGCUCUAGGAAUUAAUUUCUUGAAUUUCUUGAGAAUCAGAUCUGUCAUUUUAAGAGAACCUGUUAAUAGCAUGAAAUGAAUUGUGAGAUUCCCUAUGUUUCUGAAAUGAUGUGUUCUAAAAGAGGUCAGAUCUUCAGAUUUGACCAAUGACAAGGGGGGCCCAAGAGAAAAUAACUCUUCUGGCAUUACUAAAACAAUAUGGUCAAGACACCACAUUGACCCCAUCCUGCCUCUUCUUCAGCUUUUCUACAUAUAUGGUGCAGUUCUGCUGAUUUACUGCUCUGUGUCUUACCAACCUGACAGCCCCACAUGGGGAGGUACUUGUUGCUAUAUGUAAACCAUCUCUAUAAGCUAGGCAACCUAGACUCUGAAAUGCACUGCAGUCUAAUAAUAAAUAUUAAAAGUGCUUCCCA
rnacentral:lncRNA from 1 species